UCUCUCCUUCUCCCCUCUCCCCUCUCCCCUCUCCCCUCUCCCCUCUCCCCUUAAAAUCUUUAUCAGUAGGUCUUCAAAAUGACUUUGGAAAUUAAAACAAGAUUAUGGCCAGACAUUUUAUGGCAGACACUUUGCAGCAUCUGUGACCUGUGCUUUCAGACCCCAACUUACUUGUGGAAAAGAAUCCCUUUUUUCCUUCUUGCUUUUCACUCCAUCUUGUCAGUUUCAGUUGGAAAUUGAAUUGUACUUUAAGAUUUAUACUUGGAAAUCGACAGCAAGGCAUUUAGAAACAAUUUAAAGUAAGCUAUGCUGACUCAGAAAUAGGAAGGUAUUCCAGCUACAAGAGGAGCGUCCUGUCAGUUACCUCAGUCACUGUAGCCCCCUCCCUUUCUCUUUUCUGUUGACACCUGUUGUCAGGGCUGCAGAGGUGGCUUAGCGGUUAAGCUCUUCUGCUCAAGCUGGAGGACUGGAGUUGGGAUCCCACCACCCAUAUCUCAAGGCUCACAAGAACUUGUAAUUCCAGCUGCGAGAGAAGCAGUGCCCUUUCUCUACCUAGCUGCUCUGGUUCCCAUUCCCCUCUUCUCUAAAUGUUUCUUUGAAAUUCUGUGUGUAGCACUAGAAGGAUCUUUCUAACAUUCAAGCUUUAAUCAUAACCUUGGUCAUAAGGAUCUAUAGUCCUCAUCUCCUCUGGGUAAAAUCUAAAUCCUUUUAUUGCAGGGUUUCCCUAUUUGACUUGAUUUUUAUCUCUUACCUUCCUUUCCUUUAUAGGUUUCUGCCAUCUGCUUGCCCACUCCAUGCUUCUUGCUUAUCUGGCUAGCACAGAUUGAUUCGUCAAGGCUAGCUCACCGACCAUUUUAUAUGAAGUGCACAAAUGUUUUCUACUGCUACAUUCUCCCAGUACAUAGUGUGCAGACAUCAAGUAAAGUGCUGUUGAGGAUGAAAUUCUAGUUUAAAAGGUGCUUGUAUUUGUGUAUUUUAUCUGUAGUUCCUCGCUGGUGUUUGAUCGGAUAGAGAAUUAACUUAGUGGAUAAAUAGAUGGAUAGAAAGAGAAUCUGAAAUGAAAGGUUACGUGAUACUUGAAUAUUAAAUCAGGGUUUGGGAGACUGUUUUCUAUUCUGGGUUCUCUGCUUGCUACCUAUGUUACUGCGUGUCUUAGGAUUUCCAUUGCUGUGAAAAGACACCAUGACCAUGGCAACUCUUAUAAAACAAACAUUUAAUUGGGGCUGGUUUAGAGUUUCAGAGGUUUAGUCCCUUAUCAUCAUAGUGGGUGCGUGGUGAGUAUAGGCAGACUUGGUGCUGGGAGAAGCCGAGAGUUCUACAUCUUGAUCCACAGGCAGUAGAAGGAGAUCGUGUGUCACACUCCACAUAGCUUGAGCAUAGAAGACCUCAAAGCCCGCCUCCACAGAGACACUUUCUCCAACAAGACCACACCUCCUAAUAUUGCCACUCUCUAUGGGUCAGGCAUUCAAACACAUGAGUCUAUGGGGGCCAUGCCUGUUCAAAACUCCAAAAUGUGCUACAUAACAAGACUCUUGUUUCAGAAAACAUGAAUAAUGUCUACAUUACCGUUUCCCCAACUAUCUAUAUGCAUGUUAGGUUGCCUAAAUCACCAUUUCUGCAACUAUAUAUUAAGCAUGUUAGUGUGGUCAAGGCCCUGGCAAUUUUAAUAGGCUAAUUCAUGGAACUUUGCUGACCAAGGGUAGUACAGAGUCCUUUCUUUCCCUAAGAUGCUUGUACUAUCAUCACAUGGACUUAAUAGUUCACAUAUCAGAGUCUAGAAUUUCCUCCAGGGUUUUAGUUAUAGAGAGCAUGAGCCCUCUUCAACAGGAGAAACACUACUACAUCUGUUACAUGAUUGGUUGCCAUGUUAAAAAUCUCAUUGAAAAAAAAAA